UACGUAGGGGGCAAGCGUUGUUCGGAAUGACUGGGCGUAAAGGGUGCGUAGGCGGUGUAGCAAGUUAGAAGUGAAGUACCUAGAGCUUAACUCAGGUGCUGCUUCUAAAACUGCUAUACUUGAGUGCAGUAGAGGAAAGUGGAAUUCCUAGUGUAGCGGUGGAAUGCGUAGAUAUUAGGAGGAACAUCAGUGGCGAAGGCGACUUUCUGGGCUGUAACUGACGCUGAGGCACGAAAGUGUGGGGAGCAAACAGG
rnacentral:rRNA from 1 species